AAAAAAUUAGUUAAGCAAUAACAUUAGUUUGUCAAGCUAAAAUCAUUAGAAAGCUAAUAUUUUUUG
rnacentral:tRNA from 1 species